GACGAACGCUGGCGGCGUGCCUAAUACAUGCAAGUAGAACGCUGAAGGAGGAGCUUGCUUCUCCGGAUGAGUUGCGAACGGGUGAGUAACGCGUAGGUAACCUGCCUUGUAGCGGGGGAUAACUAUUGGAAACGAUAGCUAAUACCGCAUAACAGUCGAUCUUGCAUGAUAUCUGCUUGAAAGUUGCAAUUUCAUCACUACCAGAUGGACCUGCUUUGUUUUUGCUAGUUGGUGAGGUAACGGCUCACCAAGGCGACGAUACAUAGCCGACCUGAGAGGGGGGUCGGCCACACUGGGACUGGGGAACGGCCCAAGCUCCUUCGGGAGGGCGCCGUAGGGAAUCUUCGGACAUGGGGGGAAGUCUGACCGCGCAAAGCCGGGUGAGUGAAGAAGGUUUUCGGGGCGUAAAGCUCUGUUGUAAGAGAAGAACGAGUGUGAGAGUAGAAAGUUCACACUGUGACGGUACCUUACCAGAAAGGGACGGCUAACUACGUG
rnacentral:rRNA from 1 species